rnacentral:rRNA from 1 species
AGUGAACGCUGGCGGCAGGCCUAACACAUGCAAGUCGAACGGCAGCACAGCAGUAGCAAUACUGUGGGUGGCGAGUGGCGGACGGGUGAGGAAUACAUCGGAAUCUGCCUAGUCGUGGGGGAUAACGUAGGGAAACUUACGCUAAUACCGCAUACGACCUACGGGUGAAAGCGGGGGAUCGCAAGACCUCGCGCGAUUAGAUGAGCCGAUGUCCGAUUAGCUAGUUGGCGGGGUAAUGGCCCACCAAGGCGACGAUCGGUAGCUGGUCUGAGAGGAUGAUCAGCCACACUGGAACUGAGACACGGUCCAGACUCCUACGGGAGGCAGCAGUGGGGAAUAUUGGACAAUGGGCGCAAGCCUGAUCCAGCCAUGCCGCGUGGGUGAAGAAGGCCUUCGG